AUGAGCUAUCUUCAUCAUGGGAAGGCAUACACGUUGCACGACACCAACAUCUUAGAGCACCUCACCGAGCGACACGGCAUCAAUUCCUACCGUGUACAUGGCGAUACGGUUUACGAUCCGAGGUCGGAUCUCUCCCAAGGGGGAGGGGAUGAUGCAGAGCAUCCCAUGGUCAUCUCCAUGUACACCGUCAUAGCAGCUCGAGUCCCAUGUGGACCUACUGGAAUUAAGGUGAACCCGCUCUUCUUCGAGAAUAUCAUGAAUAUCCAUUGGACUUGCUUACUACCUCACCAAAGUGCUCUAUGUGUCCUUAGAUACGAAGACCGACGACCACAAGCUGGUGAGGAACACCCCAAAGGAGUAGGAGAAGGACCCCAAGGCCACAAGGAGGAAGAAGGAGUGUAA
rnacentral:rRNA from 1 species